UUCUUAUCGAGAGAAGUGGAGGGAUUUGGCCCUAUGAUACUUCGGCAGCGGAUUUUUACUAUGGUAAAAAUACUGUGCUAAUUCCAACAAACAUCUGUUUGAGAGAUAAGAG
rnacentral:ncRNA from 2 species